CCCGCACAAGCGGUGGAGCAUGUGGUUUAAUUCGAGGCUACACGAAGAACCUUACCAGGGUUUGACAUGCAAGUGGUAGGAAUCCGAAAGGUGACCGACCCUUCGGGGAGCUUGCACAGGUGCUGCAUGGCUGUCGUCAGCUCGUGUCGUGAGAUGUUCGGUUAAGUCCGCUAACGAGCGCAACCCUCGUCGUGUGUUAUACGUGUCACACGAUACUGCCGGUAUCAAGCCGGAGGAAGGUGGGGAUGAUGUCAAGUCAGCAUGGCCUUUAUAUCCUGGGCUACACACACGCUACAAUGGCAGAUACAAUAGGUUGCGAAGCCGCGAGGUGGAGCCAAUCCUCAAAGUCUGUCUCAGUUCAGAUUGUAGGCUGCAACUCGCCUGCAUGAAGUUGGAGUUAGCUAGUAAACGCAGGUCAGCUAUACUGCGUUGAAUACGUUCCCGGGGUUU
rnacentral:rRNA from 1 species